rnacentral:rRNA from 1 species
CGUAGGGUUCAGGCAAUAGGUUUUUUCCGAUUAAAAAUUGCCUCAGGCAAAGUAGACCAAAGUGCAAUUGACCAAGUGUCGUAGGGUUCAGGCAAUAGGGUUCCCCCAGGCAAUCAAAUUUCACCAGGCAUUUUUGCGGUUAAAAAUUGCUGCGGUUAAAAAGCUCGUAGUUGGAUUCGUAUCGGUAUCCUGGAACCCUCCGGGUGUUUCUGGGUGUUAUCGAUUUAUCGUAAUGUUCGGUUUUGAGUCCUUAACAGGAUUCUUAACAGGCAUUGCAAGUUUACUUUGAACAAAUCAGAGUGCUUCAAACAGGCGUUUUCGCUUGAAUGAUCGUGCAUGGAAUAAUAGAAAACGAUUUCGGUUCAGUUUUAUUGGUUUUACGGACUGAGAUAAUGGUUAACAGAGACAAACGGGGGCAUUUGUAUGGCCCCGUGAGAGGUGAAAUUCUUGGACCGUGGCCAGACAAACUACAGCGAAAGCAUUUGCCAAGAAUGUUUUUAUUAAUCAAGAACGAAAGUCAGAGGUUCGAAGGCGAUCAGAUACCGCCCUAGUUCUGACCGUAAACGAUGCCAACUAGCGAUCCGCCGAUGGAAAUUAUAUUGCCUUGGUGGGGAGCUUCCCGGAAACGAAAGUCUUCCGGUUCCGGGGGAAGUAUGGUUGCAAAGCUGAAACUUAAAGGAAUUGACGGAAGGGCACCACCAGGAGUGGAGCCUGCGGCUUAAUUUGACUCAACACGGGGAAACUCACCCGGCCCGGACACUGUGAGGAUUGACAGAUUGAUAGCUUUUUCAUGAUUCAGUGGAUGGUGGUGCAUGGCCGUUCUUAGUUCGUGGAGUGAUUUGUCUGGUUUAUUCCGAUAACGAGCGAGACUCUAACCUACUAAAUAGUUGGUGCAUACUCUUUGUGUAUACAGCUUCUUAGAGGGAUUUGCGGCGUUCAGCCGAAAGAAAUUGAGCAAUAACAGGUCUGUGAUGCCCUUAGAUGUCCGGGGCUGCACGCGCGCUACACUGGCAAAAUCAACGUGCUUGUCCUACCCUGAAAGGGGCGGGUAAACCAUUGAAAAUUUGCCGUGAUUGGGAUCGGAAAUUGCAAUUAUUUUCCGUGAACGAGGAAUUCCAAGUAAGUGCGAGUCAUCAGCUCGCGUUGAUUACGUCCCUGCCCUUUGUACACACCGCCCGUCGCUGCCCGGGACUGAGCCAUUUCGAGAAAUUUGGGGACCGUUGAUUUAAUUUUUCUAAAUUACUUUGAUGGAAACCAAUUUAAUCGCAGUGGCUUGAACCGGGCAAAAGUCGUAACAAGGUAGCUGUAGGUGAACCUGCUGCUG